rnacentral:tRNA from 1 species
AGUCCUGGGGUGUUACACGUUAGAUUGCAAAUCUAAAGAAGCAGAUGAGAUCUGCCGGGGCUU